rnacentral:rRNA from 1 species
UAAUGCAAGUCGAGCGACAGAUAAGGAGCUUGCUCCUUUGACGUUAGCGGCGGACGGGUGAGUAACACGUGGGUAACCUACCUAUAAGACUGGGAUAACUUCGGGAAACCGGAGCUAAUACCGGAUAAUAUUUCGAACCGCAUGGUUCGAUAGUGAAAGAUGGUUUUGCUAUCACUUAUAGAUGGACCCGCGCCGUAUUAGCUAGUUGGUAAGGUAACGGCUUACCAAGGCGACGAUACGUAGCCGACCUGAGAGGGUGAUCGGCCACACUGGAACUGAGACACGGUCCAGACUCCUACGGGAGGCAGCAGUAGGGAAUCUUCCGCAAUGGGCGAAAGCCUGACGGAGCAACGCCGCGUGAGUGAUGAAGGUCUUCGGAUCGUAAAACUCUGUUAUUAGGGAAGAACAUACGUGUAAGUAACUGUGCACGUCUUGACGGUACCUAAUCAGAAAGCCACGGCUAACUACGUGCCAGCAGCCGCGGUAAUACGUAGGUGGCAAGCGUUAUCCGGAAUUAUUGGGCGUAAAGCGCGCGUAGGCGGUUUUUUAAGUCUGAUGUGAAAGCCCACGGCUCAACCGUGGAGGGUCAUUGGAAACUGGAAAACUUGAGUGCAGAAGAGGAAAGUGGAAUUCCAUGUGUAGCGGUGAAAUGCGCAGAGAUAUGGAGGAACACCAGUGGCGAAGGCGACUUUCUGGUCUGUAACUGACGCUGAUGUGCGAAAGCGUGGGGAUCAAACAGGAUUAGAUACCCUGGUAGUCCACGCCGUAAACGAUGAGUGCUAAGUGUUAGGGGGUUUCCGCCCCUUUAGUGCUGCAGCUAACGCAUUAAGCACUCCGCCUGGGGGAGUACGACCGCAAGGUUGAAACUCAAAGGAAUUGACGGGGUCCCGCACAAGCGGUGGAGCAUGUGGUUUAAUUCGAAGCAACGCGAAGAACCUUACCAAAUCUUGACAUCCUUUGACACCUCUAGAGAUAGAGCCUUCCCCUUCGGGGGACAAAG